CGAGGAAUUUUGCGCAAUGGGCGAAAGCCUGACGCAGCAACGCCGCGUGGGUGAGGAAGGCCUUCGGGUCGUAAAGCCCUUUUCGGGGGGACGACAGCGACGGUACCCCCGGAAGAAGCCACGGCUAACUACGUGCCAGCAGCCGCGGUAAUACGUAGGUGGCGAGCGUUGUCCGGAUUUAUUGGGCGUAAAGCGCGCGCAGGCGGCUGGGUAAGUCCGCUGUGAAAUCUCCCGGCUCAACCGGGAGGGGGCGGUGGAGACUGCUUGGCUGGAGGGACCGAGAGGCCGGUGGAAUUCCCGGUGUAGUGGUGAAAUGCGUAGAGAUCGGGAGGAACACCUGUGGCGAAGGCGGCCGGCUGGGGGUUACCUGACGCUGAGGCGCGACAGCGUGGGGAGCGAACCGGAUUAGAUACCCCCGUAGUCC
rnacentral:rRNA from 1 species